rfam:Deinococcus hopiensis KR-140 genome assembly, contig: Deiho_Contig194.5
GGUCUGGUAGCUCAGUGGAAGAGCGGUACCUCAUCAGGGUUCAGGUCGGCGGUUCAAUUCCGUCCCAGACGC